CCUACGGGAGGCAGCAGUGGGGAAUAUUGCACAAUGGGCGAAAGCCUGAUGCAGCAACGCCGCGUGAGUGACGAAGGCCUUCGGGUUGUAAAGCUCUGUCUUCUGGGACGAUAAUGACGGUACCAGAGGAGGAAGCCACGGCUAACUACGUGCCAGCAGCCGCGGUAAU
rnacentral:rRNA from 2 species